rnacentral:tRNA from 1 species
AGUCAAUUUAGGUAGUGCCCGCCGCCAACAUGAAAUGGCUGUUAUCGCGCUGGCUCGUAUGCUCCAGCAAAGUCAGG